AACGAACGCUGGCGGCAUGCCUAACACAUGCAAGUCGAACGAGACCUUCGGGUCUAGUGGCGCAUGGGUGCGUAACGCGUGGGAACCUGCCCUUAGGUUCGGAAUACCUCCCCGAAAGGGGUGCUAAUACCGGAUAAUGUCUUCGGACCAAAGAUUUAUCGCGUUUGGUUGGGCCCGCGUUGGAUUCGCUGGUUGGUAGGGUAAAAGCCUACUAAGGCGACGAUCCAUAGCUGGUUUGAGAGGAUGAUCAGCCACACUGGGACUGAGACACGGCCCAGACUCCUACGGGAGGCAGCAGAGGGGAAUAUUGGACAAUGGGCGAAAGCCUGAUCCAGCAAUGCCGGGUGAGUGAUGAAGGCCUUAGGGUUGUAAAGCUCUUUUACCCGGGAUGAUAAUGACAGUACCGGGAGAAUAAGCUCCGGCUAACUCCGUG
rnacentral:rRNA from 1 species